AGAUUGAACGCUGGCGGCGUGCUUAACACAUGCAAGUCGAGCGGUAACGCGGGAGCAAUCCUGGCGACGAGCGGCGAACGGGUGAGUAAUGCUUGGGAAUCUGCCCAUUAGUGGGGAACAACCAGCCGAAAGGUUGGCUAAUACCGCAUACGCCCUACGGGGGAAAGCGGGGGAUCGUAAGACCUCGCGCUAAUGGAUGAGCCCAAGUCGGAUUAGCUUGUUGGUAGGGUAACGGCCUACCAAGGCGACAAUCCGUAGCUGGUCUGAGAGGACGACCAGCCACACUGGGACUGAGACACGGCCCAGACUCCUACGGGAGGCAGCAGUGGGGAAUCUUGGACAAUGGGCGAAAGCCUGAUCCGGCAAUAUGGCGUGAGUGAAGAAGGGCAACGCAGCUUGUAAAGCUCUUUCAUCGAGUGUGCGAUUGUGACAAGACUUGAAUAAGAAGCCCCGGCUAACUCCGUACCAGCAGCCGC
rnacentral:rRNA from 1 species